UCGUGCUCGAGGAAAAACGGUCAAGUGUUUGUGUCCUUUUAAUACGAAUUGCUAAAAUUAGCACGAUUGAGAAGUAUUUGCCCGAAUUCAUCGUUGUUACUAGCGUGGCUUUAAAAGUUCGCUUGUUGGUUGUAAAAGUGAUACGAGGCACAAUGGUGGUUGUGUUUGUAUUCUAGCUCAAGGUUAUUUUGAAAUCUACGCUUAGUAGCAUAUCUUGUGACCAGGCAUGCUCCUCUCGUCUCUAAAUCUUGACUGUGUGCUGUUUGUUCUGGUUGAUAAAACUGCAUCUGUUUGCUGAUACAACGACCAUGCUCCUUCCAUGUGGCAUCUCCGAAGACAACCUGUUGAUUGCAAGUGUCCCUGACGUCAUAAUGGAUUAGAGCAGGGACAGGGCAUCCUUUUGAAUACAGUACACUAUGAAUACAGUACACUACUCGAUUGUUAGUUUCAAAGUUAAAGUUAAGCACGAUAAGGAUAUAUCGGGUGGUUACGCGUAAUACUAUAUUAUGUAGCUUUUAUAUACUUUUUUGUGGACGGGUGAAGGUUUUCUUGUUGUGCUGGAUGAGAAAGUCAUUUGUUCUCCUAAUUCCUAAAAAAUAUUAAUUACAAAGUGUAACCACAAUCUAGGUUUUUAAUCUCAAAUGGGGAAAUGAAGGUGCCCUUUGACGUGUCAUUUGUUGUGACCCGAGGCAAUUCUUUGAUAAACUCUCUGAUCUUUUUAUCUUAUGAAACAUCGGGGCAUGCCCAACCAUUAUUCAGAACAGAAUAGAUUUUCUAUUCCAUUUUCUAGAUUUAUUGGGUGUGAACCUCUUAUAUUCAAAUUGGUUAGCAACAUAUCUUUUCACAAAUCUAUACUAUUGGUCAAUUCCCACAUGGGGAUUAUUCAUUGUCUAACGACUGAUUGAAUAAUCCACUUUUAUUUUGGAGGUCGACUCAUGUUGACGAUGGCUCUCUUUGAACAUGCGAUGUUAAUGCAACAUCCGGUGUCUACAGAGCAUACAUCACUAAUCAUUGCCUCCAUGGCAGUGAAAAAGCUACACUUGAGUAAGAAUCAUGACCACAAAGUAGGUGUGACUAUUAAGUAAGGAAAAAGACAGCAAAGCCUUGCUAAUUGCUAAACUAUCGAAAUGUGGUCGCAAAACACCAAAGUAAAUGCAUCUGUGAUACAGUACAUUUGUAGAACUGUGUAUUAGCGGAGGAUAAGAAACUGGCCACUGAGAACCUGACAGGAACAUCACCAGAGUGAUUUCUUUAUUUGACAAUAAAGUUGUAUCCAAUCCAAAAAAAUGGCGAACUGAAGCUUCAUAAAGCACUGAAACUUUCCAGCAACUUGGUUUGCGCAUGGUUCAUUGUUAUGGUACAUCUUUUGCUUUUAAGGUGUCACCAAGUGGUCAACAAGACACAGCAGUAAAAUAUUCAUUCAUUCAUUCAUCCUCACUAGGGUCGAGGGGGGUGCUGGAGCCUAUCCCAGCUGUCUCCGGGCAUUAGGCGGGGGACACCCUGAAUCGGUUAUGCAGAAUCCAAUAAAAAUGUGGGCAAAACGGUGACAACAUGUACAUAAAUAGCAAGAUUGUAGUUUUUGUAAGUACAAGUUUAUGAAUAUAAAUAAGUGUCAAGUCGAGUCAAGUACAACUUUAUUGUCAAAUAUGCCAACAUAGAGCACAGAUGAAAUUUCUUCCAUCUCAAGACAACAUGCAAAAAGAGGAGCAGCUACGAAUGACCGCUUCACCAUCAAAAGAACAGUUAAUAUAAAAUGUCAAAAUAAUUCAACACAACACAUAAGACACAUACAAUUGUGCACUCUUAAACACUUUCCUGCAUACACUUUGUUGUUUGAAGCAGUUAUAGAUGAAGGAGUAGCGAAUCGGUAUCCUUUUCACCAGUGGAUCAAAGACAUCAUGCUGACACGUCUGCUACAAGCUAGGCUGAAAGCAACAAGAAGCUGUAGCAUCCAUUAACAACAAAAGAGACUGGCUCUCUUCUCCUGUCCCAUGUAAAUCCGCUUCAAUUCCAUGCUGCGACUCCCAGUUCCACAUAUGCAUUGGCGCUCUGCGCAGAUGCUCCUUUAUUCUCAUCGUCGGCUCCUCAAGCCAUGCAUCCCAUCCAGCCACAGACUGUCCAUCAGCACCGACCUUUCAGCGGAAUAAUAAUAAACACAAGUGCUAAUCCAACACGACUACUUCGACACUCCGAGUAUUCUUUCGUUAUGCACAAAGUGGCUCUCUAACCACCAACUAAGUUGACGGCCGCAAUGAAUGCUGACAACACCCGCAAAGCGACGUAUGGUUUUGAGUGUUAUUGUGAAGCAAUGAUAAAUUGACUGAAACUUGUGACGAAUCGGCACAAAUCGAGGCCCUGUUUGUCAACAGUCACGUGAUUUUUCUUGGAAGCGAUGCAAGCUCAUUUGUUUCGCAUAUCCACUCUUGCUCGACGCACGCUCCAAAGUCUCAUCGCAUUUCAGAACAUCACAGGUCAUUGCAUACGUCAGCUAGGAGUAUAGUACAGAAUUGUAAUACACAUUUAAAAUAUAAGAACCUUUAUUGGAGAAAUAGAUGUUAUUUCAGCAGCUAAAGUGGAUACGUCCAAUACAGUCUCUCAGCAAUGUUAUUUGUGUGCUAAGUGUUCAUUUUGACGUUUAAGAUCUGAUUAAUCUAAUUGAACGCGCUUGCUGUCUUUUCCAAGGUUGAAAACGGAAUCAGUAAAGGCUAAUUAAUCCAUGGACAGAAAUUUGAAUGAAUUAUAGAAAACAAAAUGGCAAGCCUAUUGUAUUGUGUUUAAUUGAAACUGUCUGCUGCAUUAUUUUUUGUUUGCACUGCUAUGCACCAGGGAGUUGAACUUUUAACUCUAACUUUAGAUUUGCAUGAUAAAUGUUAUCCUAAUUAAUAUUUAUUCUCAUCAUUGUUAAUUAUUUAGCUUCUGUAAUGGGUUAUAUAAUUGAACUAUCCAUAAAUGAAUAAUGUAUUGAAUUAUUAUUAAUUAAAAGAACUUUUAACCAUAAUCCUGAUAUAUACAGUUUGCAUGAAGGAAUGCGAUUGAUAUCGUGACAUGAAUUUUGGGCCAUAUCGCCCAGACCUAAUUCUGCCCAAUCACAGCGAUAUUUUUACUGUGUCUUGCAUUUAGGAUCUGAAUCAUGUGCAAAAUUGGUCAGUUCUUGUCUUUUCAGACAGCAGAACAACUGCUUUGUAACUGUUCUGCUGUUUUGACAUUUAGUUUUUUUAGGGGAGUCUGACAAUGUAUCUACAGUGUAUCAAUUUUAGAAUUCAUUAGUUGGAGGAAAUAGUAUUGUAAGCACACCAUUGAGUGUAUUUUCAAGUGGGUCAAUCCAUUUAUUACAGCUGUGCGUGUGUGUGUGUGUGUGUGCGUGUGUGUGUUCAGUAGAACUUUGCAGUAUGUAGAUUUUUUUUCUCACUUUGACAAGUGAGGAAUGUGCUGCGUUUGUCUAUUAGAGGUGGAGAAAUUCAAGUUUGUCCUGUUGUUCCAGUUAGACGAAACCAGCUCUGUCAACUGUAAGGUAGUGACGUUGUGGUGAAUGUUGACUCGUUGUACAACUUCCGGUUGUAAAACGCUGGCUGAUAGUAAUUGGUCAGUUUAUGCUGUUCAGAUUUUGUCCUUCUGUAAUUAAUUUGUAAAACAUCCUGCUGACCACUGACAGUGUAUAGCAGGUUCCAGCAACCUUUUCGACUGAGAGAGCCAGAAUAGCAAAAUAUUUGGAAAUGCAUUUCCAAUAUAUAGACAGUCAUACCUUGGUUUUCGACCAAAAUCCGUUCCAGAAGGCUGUUCGAAAACCGAAACCACGCUCUUUAAAAAAAAAUCUUUAUUGAACACGUCUGCUCACAAUGGAACGCGACAUGAGGAAGCGUGAGGAAGCGUCACUUCCUCGUGUAAGGAAAGUGAGAGGAGUCAAGUGGGGCAUUCAAGUGCGCUCAGUUUGGUUGAGAACGGAUUUUCGGUCGUAAUUCGAGGCAUAAAAAUACUCAAAAUUUUUGGUCGAAAACCGAUUUGGUCGAGAACAGAGACGUUCGAAAACCGAGUUUUGACUGUAUAUAUAAAACUGCAUUUUAAAAGUGAAUUAAACAAAAUAAGAUAAGAUCCUUUAUUUGUCCCACACUGGGGAAAUUUACAGCCUCCAGCAGCAAGAAUAUAGGUAGAAAGAAGAAAAAAACAACAAACACAGUUCAAGUAAGUGCAAUAUAAAUACAAAAUGGAUAAAUCGCAGUGUUAUUUACAAUUGUCCCUCUGAAUGUAUUCUUUGAAAUCAUUGUGUUAUAAUACUCACCAUUAAUGUGAAUGGUUUUCCAUUCCUCACGAUUGCUAAAGAUACAAGCUAGCGGAAUUAUAGUCAGUUUGCCGAGUCCAUACGCGGAGUUGUGGCUAGCUUGCACCCUGUUCAGUAGCUUGCACUACUCCUUUCUUGCACUACUCCCGCAGGUUAUUUUGGUGCAAACGUAGCAUGGCACAUGUCUUAAGUGCCGCUUUACAUUCGACCGUUUCAUCGAUGAUAUUUUGUCAUUGCAAUUGCAUUGAACCCCGCAGAACAUGUUCUCUCCAGAUAGGCGAAUCCUGUGGUCCAUUCGUCCUGAAGUGAACCAUACGUCAUUUUUUUUUCUUUUCGCCAUCUUAUUCGUCGAAGGAUUAGCGUUGAGCUAAUGACAGAGCGGGCUGAUUCAAAAGGGGGUGUUUACCUGUUUACCCAGCAAUGGCCAACGUAGGCCAGUAUCAUCCAAUUAAAAUUGCUCCUGCAGCCCUGAACAGGACAUGAGCUGUGAAAAAU